UACGUAGGUGGCAAGCGUUGUCCGGAUUUACUGGGUGUAAAGGGCGUGCAGCCGGGAAGACAAGUCAGAUGUGAAAUCCCGCGGCUCAACCGCGGAACUACAUUUGAAACUGUUUUUCUUGAGUACCGGAGAGGUCAUCGGAAUUCCUUGUGUAGCGGUGAAAUGCGUAGAUAUAAGGAAGAACACCAGUGGCGAAGGCGGAUGACUGGACGGCAACUGACGGUGAGGCGCGAAAGCGUGGGGAGCAAACAGG
rnacentral:rRNA from 1 species